rnacentral:lncRNA from 1 species
AAAACAUAAACAAGUCUUAAAGAUGGCAAGGCAGCUUUAUACGUCAGCCUUUUUUCACUUCGCCACCUUACUCUUCAUCUUCCGAACAAUCUCAGCGGUCCGCUUCCCUCCUGGACCAACAACAACUAACGACCUAGAUUUCAUCCGUACGAGCUGCAACGCAACGCUCUACCCAGACGUGUGUUUCACGUCGUUAGCUGGCUACGCCUCCUCCGUACAAUAUAACCCGGCGAGGCUAGCUAGGGUCUCCGUCGGCGUUUCCCUUUCCCGCGCAAAACACACGGCGUCUUAUCUCUCAAAACUCUCACGCGCCUCGGCUUCCGCCGCCGUCCACGACUGCGUUUCAAACGUGGGAGACGCCAUGGAGAAGAUGCGUGGCUCGCUCCGUCAACUCCGGGAGAUGAACCACCGUCGUCCCGGAGCUCCGACGUUUAGGUUUCAGAUGAGUAACGUGCAGACGUGGAUGAGUGCAGCGUUGACGGACGAGGAGAUAAAAGCGAUAGAUUUUUGUGUAUAAUUCCAACAGCUUAUAUGAACUAUAUUAGUUUCUAUUAUCAAAUCGAUGAUAGUCUCUUGAGACUACAAAGUAAAUAAGAAAUUUUCCUAAUAGUUUGAUCUCCUAUAUGAUUGUAUCUUAAUCCCACACUGGUUGGAGCAUUCUGAAAAAAAGUUUAGAAAUGUUUAAUAAUUACGCGUGCGUACAUUUUCUUCUUGGACAACUUUUUUAUAUGGGCAGAAACAUUGCGGGUAGGCGAAUCUCCACAUAGUCCAUUCCGUAAUUUGGUGAAUCCCAUCAUCUUAUUCUUCACCGUUCGAUUCUAUCGUGGUCGAAUUGCAACUGGUUAUGUCCAUCCAAAAUCUCACUCACGUGCACAUCCAUUAUUUUUUGUUUUUGAAAAAGACACCCAUAAUUUUUCUAAAACCUAAACGUAUGGGGGUUUCUUUAGAGGUACGGCUAAGAGUUGAAAACUAUCAAGCCUUCUUUUACACACCAGCCAUGAAUAAAAUGCACCAGACAAAAUGAUUAGUGGCAAUAAUGUGAUUACAAUGAACAUUGUAAGGGCACACAUGUCAGAUAUCUCCAUUCCUCAAUGCCUACAUAAACCCUCCAAUCUUUCUCGUAAACUACCAAAAACCUUAAAACAUAAACAAGUCUUAAAGAUGGCAAGGCAGCUUUAUACGUCAGCCUUUUUUCACUUCGCCACCUUACUCUUCAUCUUCCGAACAAUCUCAGCGGUCCGCUUCCCUCCUGGACCAACAACAACUAACGACCUAGAUUUCAUCCGUACGAGCUGCAACGCAACGCUCUACCCAGACGUGUGUUUCACGUCGUUAGCUGGCUACGCCUCCUCCGUACAAUAUAACCCGGCGAGGCUAGCUAGGGUCUCCGUCGGCGUUUCCCUUUCCCGCGCAAAACACACG